GGGGGGAGCAAGCGUUGUUCGGAUUUACUGGGCGUAAAGGGCGCGUAGGCGGCCUCUGCAAGUCGACUGUGAAAUCUCCGGGCUUAACCCGGAACGGUCAGCCGAUACUGCAGGGCUAGAGUGCAGAAGGGGCAACUGGAAUUCUCGGUGUAGCGGUGAAAUGCGUAGAUAUCGAGAGGAACACCUGCGGCGAAGGCGGGUUGCUGGGCUGACACUGACGCUGAGGCGCGAAAGCUAGGGGAGCGAACGGGAUUAGAUACCCCGGUAGUCCUAGCCUUAAACGAUGAAUGCUUGGUGUCUGGGGUUUUAUAGUCCCCGGGCGCCGUCGCUAACGCUUUAAGCAUUCCGCCUGGGGAGUACGGUCGCAAGACUG
rnacentral:rRNA from 1 species